rnacentral:snoRNA from 1 species
UGUUGCUGCUGUUGCUGCUGCUGCUGCUGCUGCUGCAGCAGCAGCAGCAACAGAAGAAAAAGAAAUAGUCUUAUAAU